rnacentral:rRNA from 1 species
GCAAGUCGAGCGCGCCCUUCGGGGCGAGCGGCGGACGGGUUAGUAACGCGUGGGAAUGUACCCAGAUCUACGGAAUAGCCAUUGGAAACGAUGAGUAAUACCGUAUACGCCCUUCGGGGGAAAGAUUUAUCGGUUAAGGAUUGGCCCGCGUUAGAUUAGAUAGUUGGUGGGGUAAUGGCCUACCAAGUCUACGAUCUAUAGCUGGUUUGAGAGGAUGAUC